rnacentral:rRNA from 1 species
AGUGAACGCUGGCGGCGUGCCUAAUACAUGCAAGUCGAACGAAGUGGCGCCAGGGUGAGUAAUCUAUAGUUAAUCUGCCCUACACAGAGGAACAACAGUUGGAAACGACCGCUAAUACCUCAUAGUGUAGGAUGGUACUAUAUCGUAUCAGCUAGUUGGUAAGGUACUGGCUUACCAAGGCUAUGACACGUAACUGGUCUGAGAGGAUGAGCAGUCACAUUGGAACUGAGACACGGUCCGAACACCUACGGGAUGGAGCAGUAAGGAAUAUUGCGCAAUGGGGGAAACCCUGACACAGCAACGCCUCGUGGAGGAUGACACUUUUCGGAGCGUAAACUCCUUAUAUCAUGAAAGCGGUACCUGAUGAAUAAGCACCGGCUAACUCCGUGCCAGCCGCCGCGGUAAUAC